rnacentral:rRNA from 1 species
UACAGAGGGUGCGAGCGUUGUUCGGAAUUAUUGGGCGUAAAGCGCACGUAGGCGGCUUGCCAAGUCGGACGUGAAAUCCCUCAGCUCAACUGAGGACGUGCAUCCGAAACUGGCGAGCUUGAGUACUGAAGAGGAUCGCGGAAUUCCCGGUGUAGAGGUGAAAUUCGUAGAUAUCGGGAGGAACACCAGUGGCGAAGGCGGCGAUCUGGGCAGAUACUGACGCUGAGGUGCGAAAGCGUGGGGAGCAAACAGG